rnacentral:rRNA from 1 species
CCUACGGGUGGCAGCAGUGGGAAAUAUUGGACAAUGGGCGAAAGCCUGAUCCAGCAAUGCCGCGUGUGUGAAGAAGGUCUUCGGAUUGUAAAGCACUUUCGACGGGGACGAUGAUGACGGUACCCGUAGAAGAAGCCCCGGCUAACUUCGUGCCAGCAGCCGCGGUAAUACGAAGGGGGCUAGCGUUGCUCGGAAUGACUGGGCGUAAAGGGCGCGUAGGCGGUUUAUGCAGUCAGAUGUAAAUCCCCGGGCUUAACCUGGGAACUGCAUUUGAGACGCAUAGACUAGAGGUUGAGAGAGGGUUGAGGAAUUCCCAGUGUAGAGGUGAAAUUCGUAGAUAUUGGGAGGAACACCGGUGGCGAAGGCGGCAACCUGGCUCGAUACUGACGCUGAGGCGCGAAAGCGUGGGGAGCAAACGGGAUUAGAUACCCCUGUAGUC